UUUUCUUUGACCCUGAAAAGUUGGCCCAUCAAAUCAGGCGCUGGUUCCUUCUCCACGGCCGAUUCCGCCGGCGGCGCUGCUUCCCCAUGGCGGUCGGUUGCGCCCUUUUCUCCUUCCCCAUGGUAGGCUUGCUGCCUCUUGCCCUUCUCCACAGCAGGCCUCCCCCUCUUCACCUUCUCCAUCAUCAAUUAAAUCCAACCGAAACGGAUCUACUUACCUCUCCUUGCACAGGUAACUGAACCAGUUCCUCUCACCAUAAAUCAAUGGAGCCGCUCGAGAGAUCAGCCAUGCCCACCGCCUGUUGGUGCCCUGCAAGUUGGCGGGGAACAUCUGCACCCUCAACGCCACAUCCCCUGUCCACACGUGCUUCCUCCAUCCUCAUUCUGCC
rnacentral:lncRNA from 1 species